GGCCGGAAACCCCUUCGCAUGGCAGCCGGUUCCGGUUCGGACUUUGUAUCUUUGCUAAAGUCAGUGAUGUGAAAAGACUUGAAAUGGAUGAUAUUGCUGAUAGGAUGAGGAUGGAUGCUGGAGAAGUGACUUUAGUGAACCACAACUCCGUAUUCAAAACCCACCUCCUGCCACAAACAGGUUUUCCAGAGGACCAGCUUUCGCUUUCUGACCAGCAGAUUUUAUCUUCCAGGCAAGGACAUUUGGACCGAUCUUUUACAUGUUCCACAAGAAGUGCAGCUUAUAAUCCAAGCUAUUACUCAGGCCCAGGCCUGGGAGUGCUUGCAAGAUAUAGUUGGGGUAAAAUGUUGACUUUUGGUGGACACCACGGAGUCACAUUGAUGCAGAUAAGGCACAUGGCUGUGGCAGGAUUCAGCUCCUUCAU
rnacentral:lncRNA from 1 species